ACCGUUUUUAAUCGCUUCAUGUUUUGUGUUGUUUACUGCAUGAACACUCGACGCGCGUCGCUGUUUUGACCUCUGUCUGGAAAUAAUUCUUUGGCAGAGCGAAAGUGAACACAAUAACCCCUCAUAUUUGAAACUGCAUAUUGUUUCAAAUCAGCUUAGAAGAUCAUGCCGUAAUGCCCACCUUGAUCCAGCCAAAGAGGAUUGUCGGAAGAAAAAGCCUUGUUGAAAAGCUUUGAGAGGAACCAGAAUCAGCCAAUCCUUCUCUGUGCUGUUCCUGAAGUUCUGUUCCUGACUGCAUUGCAGUGAGAAAGACAGGGACACCGGCAUGGAUCAAACCAGCAGUCGGCUGUCGUCCCAGCGAGGGCUCCAGUGUCUGUCUGGAUGCCACAUGAGGGUCUCAAAUCACAGACGCCCCUCCAGACUGACAUUCCACCAUGACGACUACGCAGCC